UACGUAGGGUGCGAGCGUUGUCCGGAAUUACUGGGCGUAAAGAGCUCGUAGGCGGUUUGUCGCGUCGUCCGUGAAAACUUGGGGCUCAACCCCAAGCUUGCGGGCGAUACGGGCAGACUUGAGUACUGCAGGGGAGACUGGAAUUCCUGGUGUAGCGGUGAAAUGCGCAGAUAUCAGGAGGAACACCGGUGGCGAAGGCGGGUCUCUGGGCAGUAACUGACGUGAGGUGCGAAAGCGUGGGGAGCAAACAGG
rnacentral:rRNA from 1 species